UACAGAGGGUGCGAGCGUUGUCCGGAAUCACUGGGCGUAAAGGGUGCGUAGGCGGGUUUUUAAGUCAGAGGUGAAAUCCUGGAGCUCAACUCCAGAACUGCCUUUGAUACUGAAGAUCUUGAGUUCGGGAGAGGUGAGUGGAACUGCGAGUGUAGAGGUGAAAUUCGUAGAUAUUCGCAAGAACACCGGUGGCGAAGGCGGCUCACUGGCCCGAUACUGACGCUGAGGCACGAAAGCGUGGGGAGCAAACAGG
rnacentral:rRNA from 1 species